rnacentral:misc_RNA from 1 species
GAUGAAGAACGUAGCGAAAUGCGAUAAGUAAUGUGAAUUGCAGAAUUCAGUGAAUCAUCGAAUUUUUGAACGCACCUUGCGCCCCUUGGUAUUCCGAGGAGCAUGCCUGUUUGAGUGUCAGUAAAUUCUCAAACCCUUCCAGCUUUUUGUAGUUGGCUCUGGGUCUUGGAUGUGGAGGUGUUGCAGGCCUUUUUGAGGUCAGCUCCCCUGAAAUGCAUUAGCAGAACCGUUUGCAAUCCAUCACAGGUGUGAUAAUUAUCUACGCCAGUGGGUUGCUCUCUGUCACUGUUCAGCUUACAAUUGUCCCAUUCUUGUGGACCAACUAUUGCUGAUUCUUUGACCUCAAAUCAGGUAGGACUACCCGCUGAACUUAAGCAUAUCAAUAAGCGGACGA